UGAGUUCAAGGAACCCGCGCCGAGCCUCACGGCGAGCAGGGGCGAUGGAAAGUUGGCAGUGAUCUGGCCCCCCCGCAGGAAGGCUUCGGAGAACGGCCUGGAGCAGGAGGAGCGCAAACCUUGAAGUUUGAAUAGGCUGGGACCCCGGGCUUGAAUUAACAUACCGGUGGGAGGACCAGGUUAGCGACGCCCAGCAGGACUUCCCUGCCCACCCUCCCGACCCCCCAGCUUCAGCAGAAGGCUUUAAGAGGGGUCAGCCCUCUGCACUGGUGAACUUGAAAUCAACCAGCCCAUUCUGUUUUCACUUUGUGACAUUGACCAGUCCCUUCUGUAAAAUGGUUUAGUCUCCACUAGGAAACUGACCACCAUCUACAAACCGUGACUGUUCAACCCUUCUUAGUCUAACUGAACUAACUUUUUGAUUGUUAGAGGGUCGGGGUCACCGUCCCCCCCCCCCCCCCCGCAAUAAAGCCCCGUUUUCCUGGGCUGUGCAAGCUGGUU